AAACGAGAAUUUUAAUUGUCCGAUUUCCAGAUAUCUGAAUUAGUUGUUGCUGCUUCUAAGCCAGGCAAAAUUAAACUUGUUGAGACGGGGAAAAAUGCACUAUGCCUUCGCCAAGAUUCGAGCACCAGACCUCCAGAUUACUAGCCGGACGUUUUAUCCAGUUACAUCACGAAGACUCGUGAAAAGGAGGAAGGAAAUACCUUCAAUGUAGCAGCAAUUCCGGAUGAUGCAAGAGCCAGUACAAUGUGUAUCUUAACUCGUACUUUUGCCAGUAAAAGAUUAAUGAUUUGUGAGAAAAGUUUUUCCAGUACCACCUGAGGGGCAAUUUAA